AAUAAGUGCAGUUUUGCACUGUUUAUGUUCAACGUUUAACUGCUUGUCUUAUUUGAAAUGUUAUUUUAUUAGUAUUUUAUUGUUAUUAGAUGAUAAAACAAGAAUAAUACUUUAUGUGUGACUAAUUUUUUUAAAAAAAUUCAUAUUUUUUUCAAAUAAGACGAACGAUCAACUGUUGGACACGGAUAUCCACGACUGCACUUAUU
rfam:Oryza glaberrima chromosome 7 Oglab07_0007_4, whole genome shotgun sequence.